UGAGAAUAAUGUACACUGGACAGCCCUG
rnacentral:piRNA from 1 species